CCAUGAGGGACAUAUGAAAAGGACUUUGAAAAGAGAAUUAAAUGAGUUUGUAUUUGCUAAACACAAAGUAAACAGACUUGAUUUCCUCAGUGAGAUUGUAGUGCUUGCUUAACAAUGGGUUUUGGCUGCAAGUGCAAUAAUUCUUGCUUUGUGUGCCAGUUUUUAUGUGGACAUUUGAUUACCUUUGCACAUGAAUGGUAAUUUUCCUGCGGGGUGUGGAUUGCAUAUGCAUGUAAUGAUUUGCAUGUUUGUUAAAUGUGUCUGGUGUAUUUGUUUGUGUCCUUGUCCUUGAGGUUGCUUUCUCCCUUGGGCUUACAUGCCCUGGCACACACAUUCUGGCAAAAUGCUUCUGCUUGACCCGUCUUGAAACACGGACCAAGGAGUCUAACAGAUGUGCAAGUUUGAAGGUGGUAUACCUGUGUGUGUAAUGAAAGUAUUGGCUGGGAUAUUUGCACCAGCAGCCGACUAAUUAGCAGACAGAGGUUUGAGUUGGAGCAUAUCUAUUAGGACCCGAAAGAUGGUGAACUAUGCUUGAACA
rnacentral:rRNA from 1 species